rnacentral:rRNA from 1 species
AGCAGCCGCGGUAAUUCCAGCUCCAAUAGCGUAUAUUAAAGUUGUUGCAGUUAAAAGCUCGUAGUUGAAUUUCGGGAUCAAUUGAUUGGUCAUGCCUUGGUAUGAACUGGUCAUAUUGGUUCUCACCUUCUAAUGAACCAUAAUGUCAUUCACUUGAUGUUAUGGGGAAUUAGGACUGUUACCUUGAAAAAUUAGAGUGUUUAAAGCAGGCUUACGCUUGAAUACAUUAGCAUGGAAUAAUGAAAUAGGACAUCGCAUUCUAUUUUGUUGGUUUCUAGGAUCGAUGUAAUGAUUAAUAGGGAUAGUUGGGGGCAUUAGUAUUCAAUUGUCAGAGGUGAAAUUCUUGGAUUUAUUGAAGACUAACUACUGCGAAAGCAUUUGCCAAGGAUGUUUUCAUUAAUCAAGAACGAAGUUAGGGGAUCGAAGACGAUCAGAUACCGUCGUAGUCUUAACCAUAAAACUAUGCCGACUAGGGAUCGGAUGAUGUUAAUUUUUUAAUGACUCAUUCGGCGCCUUAUCG